rnacentral:rRNA from 1 species
UACGUAGGGGGGCAAGCGUUGUCCGGAUUUAUUGGGCGUAAAGAGCGUGUAGGCGGCCUGACAGGUCUGCUGUGAAAACUCGAGGCUCAACCUCGAGAUGUCGGCGGAAACCGUCUGGCUAGAGUCCGGAAGAGGAGUGUGGAAUUCCUGGUGUAGCGGUGAAAUGCGCAGAUAUCAGGAGGAACACCAAUGGCGAAGGCAGCACUCUGGGACGUGACUGACGCUGAGACGCGAAAGCGUGGGGAGCAAACAGG